rnacentral:tRNA from 1 species
AGUUAAUUAGCUUAAGAAAAGUAUAUGUUUUGAAAACAUAAAAUUAGAAGUUUAAUUCUUCUAUUAACUU